rnacentral:rRNA from 1 species
GAAUUGCGAUAAGUAAUGUGAAUUGCAGAAUUACGUGAAUCAUCGAAUCUUUGAACGCAUAAUGCACUCUCUGGUAAUCGGGGAGUAUGCCUGUUUGAGGGUCAG